UUUUUUUUUUUUUUUUAUAAGCAAAAAUUUUAUUGAUGAGACCAUGAGAAACUAAGCCUGGAAAUUGUAACCUUUUCUACUUAGAAUAUUAUAUAUAUGUUCAACCAAAGUUAGCAUUAAAGCAAGGGUUUUAUUAUUUCCUCCCCUUCAAUUUUUACAGGAAUUGUAAUUAAAGGGCUUUUUCUAUAAACGUUUCCCUCCUUGCAGGUGUUUUAUCCUGUUAUUUUCUUGUCCCUAUAAUAGUUUAUGGAAUGAAGGCUU
rnacentral:misc_RNA from 1 species